rnacentral:rRNA from 1 species
UACAGAGGGUGCGAGCGUUAAUCGGAAUUACUGGGCGUAAAGCGCACGUAGGCGGGUCGCUAAGUCGGGGGUGAAAUCCUGGGGCUCAACCUCAGAACUGCCUUCGAUACUGGCGACCUUGAGUACGGGAGAGGUGAGUGGAAUUCCCAGUGUAGAGGUGAAAUUCGUAGAUAUUGGGAAGAACACCAGUGGCGAAGGCGGCUCACUGGCCCGUAACUGACGCUGAGGUGCGAAAGCGUGGGGAGCAAACAGG